UCAUCACCAUCUAAGGGAGACUUAUAUGACUUGAUACAAGGUACUGUACAUGACACAAGUUUGCAUGGUAUCAACCUCGUUUUAAGAAAAACAUAGUUUAUUGGCGAUCUCUGGAAGAAGAACUACACUACCCAUGAUCCUUGAGCGUCACACCGACGUCUCUGAUUGGUGGAGCACGGCGUCGUGACGUCGUCACUGAAACGUUUCCCGCUCGCGCGAAAAGUGAGCAAGAGAACAAUGAGGUGUGGAGGGAGGUCUGAAGCCAAAAACACAGACAGGCUGUGCUAGCUCACAGAACCAGUGACUCUUCAUCGUCACUCAGGCUCUCCACUGCAGGUUCAGCUGAAGGAGCUGCCUUGAAUGAAUAAGCAGGAUGGAGUUCAGGGUUUGCAAGGACAUCCUGUUCCUGAGUUUGGUCUUCACCACACUCAUCUGGCUGAACACUCUCUCAACUUCAGCAUUUGAGUGUGGCAAAGACAACACAGCCACAGCAGCCAUGGCGAGUUCCUGGAAUGGAUUGAGACCAGCUGCGUCCCUGAACCUCCAAAUCUCACUCCAGAAGCUCAGCGUGUUCUUUUUCUCAGUCCAGACACUGAGGUGGAUGGUACGCCAUUGCUGGACAAUCUUGUCUAUUGCUUCAGGCAGUCUCAUCCUCAGCUCAUUGGUGAGGGAGAUAGUGAAGGCGACACACCGUUUUCUGACAUUCUGCUCAUCGUCAGGCGCAAGGUGGAGCUCAGCUGCCUUUGAAUCAAAAAGGAAACCGAGGUAUGGAACAGGACUUAUGUAUCCAUCGAGAGGCCCUUUCAAGACAUCCACCUUUGCCAGUGGAUUCAGGACCCUGCUGCUCACAGACUUAAUGAGGCUCACCAAGCUGUCAAGUAGCUUGAGAGGACCGACCUGCUCUCCCUCAAACGCUUUCAUGGCCAACUGUACCUCUCCCAGCACUGACUUCAGAAAGGUCAAGUAUAGCACAUUUUGAGGAUCACUGUACAUGGAGUAUAACACCUCAGCCAUGUAGCAGUGCUCACUGGACUUGGUGACCUCAAAAUGCAGCUUGAGCUCCUCCCAUUGGUCCAAAAUGCGUGAGACUGCGGGCUCAAUAGAGAGCCAACGUGUGGCACACACCUUUGUGAUCUGUAAUGGUUUCUCCCCACAGUUAAUGGUCUCAUAAAUGGCCUUGUAUGCCUCCCUGCGUUUGGGAGACACUGAAAACCAUUUAUAUGUCUCCCUUACAAGGUACUCCACACUGGG